CGAGCGGAGCAGAUGAUCGCAUGCGAAAGCAUGAGGAAAGUCCGGGCUUCACAGGGCAGGAUGCCGGAUAACGUCCGGCGGAGGCGACUCCCGGGAAAGUGCAACAGAAAACAAACAGCCGGAUAGCGCAAGCUUUCCGGUAAAGGUGAAAAGGCAGUGUAAGAGACUACCGGUCCUGUGGUAACACAGGACGCAUUGAAAACCCCAUCCGAAGCAAGACCAAACAGGAGACCAUGGACCUGCCCGGUCCGUCUCCAGGUAGGUCGCUAGAGCUGUAUGGCAACAUGCAGUCGAGAUAGAUGAUCAUCCCGGCACUUAUGUGCUAUGACAGAACCCGGCUUACAGCUCCACUCUUUUU
rnacentral:RNase_P_RNA from 1 species